rnacentral:lncRNA from 1 species
UGGAGGAAUUUGUACUCGCAUAGUGGAUGAAACAUGUGUCAUAACGGUCCGUGCACAGGAUAUCAAUCGUUUUCAGGUUCCUGCUAUUUCCUAAGGGUUAUUAUUUUUAUAACUUAAUUUGUCUUCGCAUCGAGUUUUGAGAUUUGAACAUUGAUAAAUUUCUAAUUGUGGCACCACUAAUUUAGGUUUGAUAUCUGAGUAGUACAAUGGGUUUUACAAAA